rnacentral:rRNA from 1 species
GACGAACGCUGGCGGCGUGCUUAACACAUGCAAGUCGAACGGAAAGGCCCUGCUUUUGUGGGGUGCUCGAGUGGCGAACGGGUGAGUAACACGUGAGUAACCUGCCCUUGACUUUGGGAUAACUUCAGGAAACUGGGGCUAAUACCGGAUAGGAGCUCCUGCUGCAUGGUGGGGGUUGGAAAGUUUCGGCGGUUGGGGAUGGACUCGCGGCUUAUCAGCUUGUUGGUGGGGUAGUGGCUUACCAAGGCUUUGACGGGUAGCCGGCCUGAGAGGGUGACCGGCCACAUUGGGACUGAGAUACGGACCAGACGCCUACGGGAGGCAGCAGGGGGGAAUAUGGCACAAUGGGCGGAAGCCUGAUGCAGCAACGCCGCGUGCGGGAUGACGGCCUUCGGGGUGUAAACCGCUUUCGCCUGUGACGAAGCGUGAGUGACGGUAAUGGGUAAAGAAGCACCGGCUAACUACGUG